rnacentral:RNase_P_RNA from 1 species
CAGGUAGGCUGGGCGACCGCUGCCCCGAUGAUGGGGGAGAGGAAAGUCCGGGCUCCACCGGGCAGGGUGCUGGGUAACGCCCAGGCUUCCGUAUGAUGUUCCCCAUCAUACGGGGGACGGAAAGUGGCACAGAGACUAAACCGCCUCGGCAGGACUCACACUGGGCAUAGCCAUAGGGUCGAGGCAGUCGGGGUAAGGAUGAAAACGGACGGUAAGAGCGUCCGGCCGGCCAUGGCGACAUGGCGGCGGCCAAACCCCACCUGGAGCAAGGCCGAAUAGGGGAACUAUGGGUGCUCGGCCCGUUCCCGGGUUGGCCGCUUGAGUCCGUCGGCAACGGCGGACCUAGAGAGAUGGUCGCCGCUCCGGUCAAGCACCGAAGUACAGAACCCGGCUUACAGGUCUACCUGGCCU